GACGAACGCUGUCGGCGUGCUUAACACAUGCAAGUCGAACGGAAAGGCCCUGCUUUUGUGGGGUGCUCGAGUGGCGAACGGGUGAGUAACACGUGAGUAACCUGCCCUUGACUUUGGGAUAACUUCAGGAAACUGGGGCUAAUACCGGAUAGGAGCUCCUGCUGCAUGGUGGGGGUUGGAAAGUUUCGGCGGUUGGGGAUGGACUCGCGGCUUAUCAGCUUGUUGGUGGGGUAGUGGCUUACAAGGCUUUGACGGGUAGCCGGCCUGAGAGGGUGACCGGCCACAUUGGGACUGAGAUACGGCCCAGACUCCUACGGGAGGCAGCAGUGGGGAAUAUUGCACAAUGGGCGGAAGCCUGAUGCAGCAACGCCGCGUGCGGGAUGACGGCCUUCGGGUUGUAAACCGCUUUCGCCUGUGACGAAGCGUGAGUGACGGUAAUGGGUAAAGAAGCACCGGCUAACUACGUGCCAGCAGCCGCGGUGAUACGUAGGGUGCGAGCGUUGUCCGGAUUUAUUGGGCGUAAAGGGCUCGUAGGUGGUUGAUCGCGUCGGAAGUGUAAUCUUGGGGCUUAACCCUGAGCGUGCUCUCGAUACGGGUUGACUUGAGGAAGGUAGGGGAGAAUGGAAUUCCUGGUGGAGCGGUGGAAUGCGCAGAUAUCAGGAGGAACACCAGUGGCGAAGGCGGUUCUCUGGGCCUUUCCUGACGCUGAGGAGCGAAAGCGUGGGGAGCGAACAGGCUUAGAUACCCUGGUAGUCCACGCUGUAAACGGUGGGUACUAGGUGUGGGGUCCAUUCCACGGGUUCCGUGCCGUAGCUAACGCUUUAAGUACCCCGCCUGGGGAGUACGGCCGCAAGGCUAAAACUCAAAGGAAUUGACGGGGCCCCGCACAAGCGGCGGAGCAUGCGGAUUAAUUCGAUGCAACGCGUAGAACCUUACCUGGGUUUGACAUGGAUCGGGAGUGCUCAGAGAUGGGUGUGCCUCUUUUGGGGUCGGUUCACAGGUGGUGCAUGCCUGUCGUCAGCUCGUGUCGUGAGAUGUUGGGUUAAGUCCCGCAACGAGCGCAACCCUUGUUCACUGUUGCCAGCACGUUAUGGUGGGGACUCAGUGGAGACCGCCGGGGUCAACUCGGAGGGAGGUGGGGAUGACGUCAAGUCAUCAUGCCCCUUAUGUCCAGGGCUUCACGCAUGCUACAAUGGCUGGUACAGAGAGUGGCGAGCCUGUGAGGGUGAGCGAAUCUCGGAAAGCCGGUCUCAGUUCGGAUUGGGGUCUGCAACUCGACCUCAUGAAGUCGGAGUCGCUAGUAAUCGCAGAUCAGCAACGCUGCGGUGAAUACGUUCCCGGGGCU
rnacentral:rRNA from 1 species